GCUGCAGAACACAGAAGAACCAGAUUUAGUAGAACCAUUCCACAUUUGCUAACACUUUACAGCCACAAUAGAGCUUCCAAAUUGUCAUAACAAGCUACUAGACACCUCUCCAAAUAGCUAAACACCUGCAUGACGGACAGAGAUGAAAUAACAUAAAAAAGGGAAGAAUCACAGCAUUCCCUCUGAAAGAAUACAUACAUAAAACAGUGACAAUGCAAUGCUUAUUCUUUUGACCAGGGAUUACACAAAAUUCAUGUGGGAGGGACAGAAUUUUACUAAUCAUUUCUCCAUUUUAUUGACCUACUUGUGUUCAAUGCAUUAAAUGCUGCCCUCAGGGACCAGAGGGAAAUAAACUACACAUAAUAUGAAAAUGGAGCUGGUUGGCUGAAGACAGGUGGAGUGGUUCUUUUAAUUAUUAAUAGUCCACAUCCCUGAGGGAUCAUUAAGUGAGGUACCAUGUCCCUCCCACCCCCAAGAGCUAGCGCUGUGCUUAAACUGUAUCUCCUUUGACAGAGUCUGAAUCAUCUGUCAAUUAGAAAACAUGGCCAUCUCUUCUAGGGGAAGAAAAGACAGGCAUUAGACAAUCAGAAGGGUAAUUUUAUUGUGGUUAUUUCUGUACUUUGCCUUCUAAUUCCCUGCUGGGAGCAAAUGCGCCAUUAAAGAAUUUCUGCUCGUUGGGCACAGUUGGAAAGAGAAAAAUGCUGAAUAACCACAGUUAGCUUAUGCUGCUAGUUUUGCAAUCAGAAGCUUUGUGUUGGUGUUGAAGAGAUAUUAAUACAGUGAUGGUCAAUCUAGGCUAGUGAGUGGCCUUCCCCCAUCUCAGUGGGCCACAAGAUUGUCAAAACCACGAUGGUCCCUUGGGAUGGGGUAGUUUUGCUAACUGCACUGGCAUACUCAGAAUUUACAGGGUACGCCAACUGAACCACAACAGCAUUUUGGUUGGAUGCAAAGGGUGUGCACAGCUCUCACAAUCCAUGUUGUGUGCAAUCACCAUGCACCCCACUUCAGGUGCCCUUGCUUUACAGUCAUAUCAUUUUAGUAAUACCAGUCAGAUAAAAAUGGCAUGCACAGAAACCAGCAGAAUCUGGCAACCCUGCACGUGGCAACGAAUGUGUCUCAGGCCACACAAACAAGCUCGAUGAGCCACGUGUCUCUCAGUCCACAGGACGCCCACCACUGUGUUAAUGUGUACUUGUACAUUUUAUCAUUUAUGUUGUGCAAUUACUUAGAGACCCCGGCUGUGGACCAGGACCCGAUCGUGCUCGAUGGUAACACACAGCAUAGAAGACACUCCCUGUUUGAAGGCUUAUAACUGAAGCACGAGACAAGAGACAACAGAUGAGAUGUGAUGCUUCCUGAGAGUACCCAGAGUUUUGAGUGAAGAGGAAGAAAGAUCAGUGGUUAACACUUCAGGCUGCUGAUCCUCCGCCUCUGAUAGCUGGCCCUCCUCAGGAUCCGAAUGGUGUGACAGAUGAGUCGGGCUCUAAGGAGGCAUAGAAGGAUGAAGAGAGCAGCAUAGCUCUAUGACGGAGGGCAGUUGAGAGAAACUGGUGGGAGCCAGACCAUGUGUAGCAGGCAAAGGGCGUGAACAGCGCGAGACUCUACCACACAUGCGCAGUCCAGCUGACUACGGCUAUUGAAAAUCUCCAAUCUGUGGUGCUGGGACGAGCCCGACACCUACAGUGGAGCACCCACAGGGACACUACUUGAAGAAGAAUAGAAUUGCUGUGUAGAUACUUGCAUUGUUAUGAAAUAAUUGAUGUUUAUUUCAAAAUAACUGUGCUGUGUAGACACACCCUACGUAUAAGACUGCCUCCUUUGGUAGCUACAAUUUGUAACAAAAUAAUGUGCACAUAGAUUAGUUAUGAAGAUAUCGUUUAGUUUGCAGAUUCUGGUAAUGUAAACCACGAGAGCGAUGGCCCCAGCACCUGUUCCAUUCAACUAAUCCCCCUUGCCCUUGUGCGGACGUUAUCUUUACUUGCUAUGUCAUCUGCAUAAAUUGGUAAGCGCCUCUGGGCAGGGAUCUUCUCUCAUUUUCUCCCUCAGCACUAUAUAAAUAGCAAGUACAGGUUGUGAUACACAGUCCUGUGCUCAUUAUUCCAUCUGCCUUUGCUCGUUUAGAAGUCUCUCUUUCAGGACAGAACUGCCCUGCUUUUCAAGAGGCAGCUCCUUUUAUGCAGCUCGGUUUAGCGCAUCUGAACUCCCAGCUGUCACUAUGGUAACUCAAAUCCAUGGGGAAGCUGAAAUGUGUUGCUUAGCAACAGCCUCUUGACUGCAGCUGCUCCUUCAUUCCAUUGAAAUGGUAGAGAACUGGGACUUGUUGGAAUCUGAGUUCUCACCUGGGGGAUGAAAAGUCAAGGAUGAAUCAAGCUAGACAAGUAGGAGCAGGGCAGGAAUAAAUGCAGAUGCAAAUGUAUAGACAUUUAAAUACAGUAUCAUAAAAUGUUUGGAAUGAAGGACUGCACUUUUGGCUACCUCCUCAGCUUUCUCUGCAUCCACAUCAAGGUAUUACUCUGAAAGAGAUACCACAUCACAUAUCUCUCUUAUUCAUUUGCCUUUGUUUUACUCUUACAGGUUAGCUGAAGAUACAAAUACUCCAGCCUGGAUGUAUUUAAUCCAUGUAUUUACUCCCAGGCGUUUGCUCUGGCUCUGAGCAUACUGAUGCAGUGCUCUCUUUCAAUACAGAUUCACUUGUAAUUGGGCUAAUUUCAGAAGCAUUUUAAAUUAACUUGGAGCUGGUAGAAGGAGCAGAUUUGACAGCUUGAGAGUGAAAACAGCUUAUCCACACAACCAGUACAGUAUUGGGGAGCUA